UUCAUUACAUAUAAAUUCACUUCCGGAUUACCAGCAAGACUAAUAAUACCUCCAUUUAGUUAAGCACAAAUGGCUGGAAGGAGAUUAAUUAUAAAAAUCUAUCGUUAUUUAUAAUCCAAACCAUUGUUAUAUAUAUAUAUGUAUAUAUAACACCAUCAAUGAUUUUGGUUCGCUUGGUAGAUACAUCU
rnacentral:snoRNA from 1 species